UCUAUGUUGGGCUCUGUUUAUUAUGCUUUGUUUAUGCUCUUAUGGUUGCAGUGAAUUACAACCCGUAUAAUUGCGUUGUGUUUUUAAUCCGGAAGUACCUGCUGAGAAUCCCCUACUGUUUGUGUUUUUAUAUGAAGUUCAUCUCGUUUGUGUUUAGCCUGUCAUGAUGGAUUGUUUGUUCUAGCACUAUCAGUGGUGUCUCGUGACAUGAUGAAUUUGUGUUUCUAACUGAUGGUGUGUCAUUACUUACCUGAUCUUAAUUGUAAAAAUUACCAUAAGUGGUGUGAACAAUUUAUCAGGAGUUCACCGUAAAAUUUAAACAUGUCCCUGAUUUCAAUUCUCAGUGCUUUUAUGUCCAAUAUGUGUGUGUGUAUGUGUGUAGUUGCCAUCCCUAAUUUGCAGAAGUUAUCUUGCCUGAUACAUAGUGUAUCAUAAGCAAAAAAAUCAGGUAUUCAAUAUCUAGUAAAAGCACACAUUAUUUUGUGCAUGAGUUAUCUUGUUGUAUGUUCACAAGUUACCAAUGUAUCAUAAGCAAUAUGUGUGUGACUAUUAAUUCAGCGGCUAUGCAUCCUCUCUGCUCACUUUUUUAUCUUUGUUAUUUUUGUGUGUCAGGUCACAAUGCCAAGGAAGUGCAAGUUAGAUGGUGACAUUGAGGAGGUAAACCCCUUAAAGAAGCAUAAGCCUCCCACAGAUCGGAACAGGGCUUCUCCUAGUGCUCUUGUGACUGCCUGUAAGGACAUGUCAGAUGAGAGAAUGUCCGCGAUUGAUGACAUGGAUUUCACUAGUCUGAGGAAUAUCAAAUGUGAUAAUCUCUUCAAUCAGCUUUCUCAAUGGCUUGCUGGUCUAUAUGACCCUGAUUCAUGUGAGGUUGUUACCUGGUCACGGAAGGUUACAUGUCAAUGAAGAGUCCAUGCAUCGGAUAAUGGGGUGCCCCGAGGUGAUAUUGCGGUGGAUUUAAAGGCUCCUACAGAUGCACAACUUGAGCUUGCGGGAGAUCUUUUUGGUGACCUUGGACAUUCUCCUAGAACUGUGGAUGUAUUAAAUCUUAUCUUGAGCACUAACGGGCAUGAUGACAACUUCAAGCACUUGUGUCUUGUGCUUGCUGCCAGCACUGUGAUGGUGCUGACAACUUCCAACAAGAUCAGCACCAGAUGGUAUCCUGCGUUGGUAAGCACAUCCGGUUGUCUUUCUCUUUUGCAUUUAUCAUUUUUAUUUCUUUUCUUUUCUUGUUUUUUACCUGGUACCUUUUUUGCUUUUUAGUCUGGUGAUUAUGUACUUAUGCACUUGAUAACUUUCAUGCUUUGGAGUGUGGUAAUUAUGUACCUGAUAUUUUUUAUGAUCUGAAGUGUGGUAAUUAUGUAGUAAUGCAUCUGAUAACUUUUUCUGCCCUGUAAUAUGGUAAUUAUGACUUACUUCUUUAUGAUCUGGUGAUUAUGUACUUAUGAACAUGAGCAAACUGUUGAAGGUUCAGAUUCUGAUCAUGAGCAUGAUGAUGGUGGCGGUGAUGGUCACUCUGACGAAGAUCUAGAUUUUCACAUUCAUUACCACGGUUCUUCAGUUGGUUUUGAUGCUUUCGGUAGCGGUGGACCGAACGCCCAUGAGACUUCAGGUAGUGGGGCAGCGAAUGCAGAUGUGGGUGAAACCAUUUUCGCAACUCCAAUGUGUCGAUAAGGUCAGCUGGAAUUGGUGGAACCACCACUCCUGCAGGAACCGACCAGCCUCUUGAGUCUCGGAUUAUGCUUACUGCAUGUUCCGGGAAUGUAUCUGGUGAUGGAUUGCAUAACCAGCCAGAUACGACUGUUACUCAAAAUGAGGCUGUUGUUGAUGCUUCUGUGAAGAGGUGCGGUUCUUCUCUUGUCCGUAACUUGGAUAAGAAAUAUUCCAGGCGUCGCAAGGAAUUACGUCUACCUUCUCCACCCAUGGCCACUAGUACAACUGUCUCUGACCAGCCGUCGUUGGAUGAUACACAUCAUUGUACCAAGGCAAUGGUCAUCAAUGAGCUUGGCAUUGUAGGCCCUGAUAAGGGCAUUAACUCAGUAAUUGCCGAUCCCACGCGGAAGAAGCAGCAUCCUCGGAAGUGAGUUUCUUAUCCUCUGCCAAUCGAGUUCUUUUUAUUUCCUUUUUUAUAUAGCAUUUUUUGUUAGUUGUUUCUGCAUGAUAAAUUUUUGUACAUAUUUAGAUGUUGUUAUUCUUUUGUGUUAGAACUUUUUCUAGUACCUACCUUCUGAUAAUUAGAAGUAACUGUGUCUGGUUACUACAACUUUUUGUGUCUGGUAACUUUUUAUUCCUCAAUAAGCCUGUGUUCUUGUCUAAAACGUUUAGUAAUUAUAUCCUGGUAUGGUUCAUAACUUUAGUAGUUAUUUUCCUGAUCAUAACUUUAGUAUUUUAUUUGAACAAGAUGUAGUUUAACUUAGUUUGCAUGAUAAUUUUAGUAAUUAUAUGCUGGUAAGCAUAUGUACUUGUCUCUGGUAACAUUUUUCUCAUUCGCACUAUAUCCUCUUCAAAUAAAUUUCCAGCGGUUCGGAUGCUCCAUCUAUUAGUGUUGCCGGCCUUCCGCAAAUGCGGUCUACCAGCGUGGGCGUCACAUCUGAGGUGGUACCUAGUAAUCUUACAUGUUCUUCGGCAGAUGUGGACUCGUCUGACACGUCAUGCAGCAAGAAGAUCAUGUUGCUGUGAGAAAGGUUAAGGUGUCUUCUAAAGUUGCAGUUGCAACUAGGUCUUCUCCUCGUUUCACUUCCAAGGAUCUGAAAGAUGAUUUUAAAGACUGCUCGUGGUUACUUCUCCAAUAGCCGUUGUGCAAGAUGAUGCCCCUGUGAGGAAUUCACCAGAUGCUGGUUUUGGAGCUGUGGAACAGCUCGCGGCAGCGGCCACUAUUACUCAAGUGGUAGAAGAGAUUGCCAAUGUUGUUCUUAGCACUCAACCUGAAACUUUUGUUGAUCAAGCUCAAGGAAAUGCUCCUACAGGUAGUGUUACCAUAGCUGAAGAUGCCCAAGCUCCUGCCAAAGCACCAUGUGUUGUUCAAUCUCAAGUUGAAUCUUCCCAAUCCACUAUGGAAGAACCAGUUGAAACUGAAGCUGCAGUAGGUGUGGAAGCUCAAGCUGGGGAUGACCAAGUCACCACCCAAGAAUUCAGCAGUAAUGUAGAUGUAGAAGAUGUUGCUGCUAAGAGGGCCUACUGGGAUUUCACACCACCAUCUUGCUCUCUUGGCCUAGAUUUUGGCCUUACACCGCCAGCACUAGAUAUUACUACGACAGCCGCAGUCCCAGCUGCAGUACCAGCACCGGCCCCAGUGGUUCUUUCGACAACUCAAGCACCAGUAGUGGACCCAGCGGAUAACAAUGCUCCCCAAGAACCAGCAACAGCAUCCCCAAUUGAUCAGACGACGGCAGCACCUCAGGAUUUAAAGAAUGCAAGAGAUAAUCUUGUUGACGCUAAGCCGGUUUCAUGCUCUUAGCCUGCUGACAUUGGUAAGUGAAGGCAUUUAUGUGUCCCCUAAGAGUGAUGGGAUGGAUGUCUGCUUUUGAAGACUUUUUUAUGCUUUCAGUUUGCUCCUUAUCUGUCUAUUUAUGCUAUGUAUGGACCCCCCCCCCAUGUAAUGACUUUUGCUUUUGCGUGUGUGCUAUGGAAUUAACUAUGUGUUUUCAUUUCACAUUUGUUCUUCCCUUUUAUGUUGUCUAGUCUAUGGACGUAUUACUGGUAUUUAUUGUUCAUUAUUCCUGGUAAUAUUACUAACAUAUGACUGAUAAUUAUAGCGCUC